rnacentral:rRNA from 1 species
GACGAACGCUGGCGGCGUGCCUAAUACAUGCAAGUCGAGCGAAUCAUUAGGAGCUUGCUCCUGAUGGUUAGCGCCGGACGGGUGAGUAACACGUGGGCAACCUGCCUGUAAGACUGGGAUAACUUCGGGAAACCGGAGCUAAUACCGGAUAAUCCUUUUCCUCUCAUGAGGAAGAGCUGAAAGACGGUUUCGGCUGUCACUUACAGAUGGGCCCGCGGCGCAUUAGCUAGUUGGUGAGGGAACGGCUCACCAAGGCGACGAUGCGUAGCCGACCUGAGAGGGUGAUCGGCCACACUGGGACUGAGACACGGCCCAGACUCCUACGGGAGGCAGCAGUAGGGAAUCUUCCGCAAUGGACGAAAGUCUGACGGAGCAACGCCGCGUGAACGAUGAAGGCCUUCGGGUCGUAAAGUUCUGUUGUUAGGGAAGAACAAGUAUCGGAGUAACUGCCGGUACCUUGACGGUACCUAACCAGAAAGCCACGGCUAACUACGUGCCAGCCGCCGCAGUAAAAC